UCCCUGGUGGCUCAGACAGUAAAGGGUCUGUCUACAAUGCAGGAGACCCAGGUUCGAUCCCUGGGUUGGGAA
rfam:Ovis aries breed Texel chromosome 3, whole genome shotgun sequence.